UUUGGCUAGCAAUCUUGUUACAGAGGCAACCCUAACACUAGGUUCUUGUGCCAAAUGGUUCCCAAAGAUGGGCUCGUAUAGCUCAAUAUCAUUCACGAGAUGCUAACCUACACAGGCAUUCACGUCCAAGAUAAGCCCUGCUCCACCUCCACACCAUCCUGCAGGAUCUCUGUGAAAAGUUGCCGCAAUGGAUUUUGCAACAUUUCUUCCCAUUUUGUCUUGUUUGGAUCCAAAAGAAGCUUGUCUUGGUGGGAUUCCAACAUUGUUUGCACUCGUGCUUUGGUUGAUAUGCUUAUUUCUUCUGAAGAAGUUGAAUUCCAGUACUGGUGCAUUGCACAUGGAACCUGGAAGUAAUCAUGUAAUUUAGGGCGUAGGACUUGGGAGUAUCUUCGUAGAGAGAGACAUAUGUGAACAUCUUUCUGAUUUUGAGAGAGAGUUUGGGCUGGAGACAAAUUGUUAAGUCACGGGGG
rnacentral:lncRNA from 1 species